CAGAAAACUUUAUUUAGUGCACAAGAUACAGUUUAGCAAUGUUGUCUUGAAGUGAAGAUCCAAAAAAAAUAUAAAACACCCCCACAAACAAAACAUUUGCUGUAAUAUCCCACAAUGCACUAGAAGUGCUAUAUAUAACCUAAAGUGCAAAAAAAAAGCUUCUCAAAGCUUUGUGAAUAAAUACAUAAAUAAAAAAACAAGGGAUAUUUCUGAUUUUUGCAGUAGAGAAAAAAUGUAAAUAAAAAUGUUCAGAUAUUUAGAUUCUCAAUUCUCUUUAGGUGCAGAAAGAGCUGUGGAAAAAUAAAUGAGCUUUUUCCCAUAAAAUAUGUUCACAUAUGCUGCAAAGAAAUCAGUGAUCUAUCCAUUGUAGUCCAAGUUGAUGCAUAAUUAUUAAAUAAAAUAAAGCCACUUACAAAAAAAAACCAAAAAAACCCACAAAUGGAAUCUAUAAACUUUCAUUCUGUUGUGUGUGAAGCAUUGGAUUGGCUGAAAUAAUCAACAUUGAUGAUCUCAGCCAGGGGAAUGGGAUAGCAGCACAUAAACCAGUGUGACAAGAGCUCAAAGUUAAAUAUGUCAAUUUUAUUUUUAAUAAAUAAUAAUAAAAAAAUUAAAUAUAUAUAUAUAUAUAUAAAUGAAAACGACAUGUAUAUUCCUAACAUAGCCAUAGCGUUCAUUUAAAAGAACAACUAGAGUCCCUUAUAAUAAAACCCAGCUAUGGACAAUGAUCGUGGUAGAAACUAGAUCGAUCCCUUCUGCAAUCUUGAGAUUAAAUGCCAAACUAUAUACUGAAAGACACUCGAGGCAUUAUAAACACUUUACCACAAUUAAGUGGUUAUGGUGUGUGGA